ACAAUAGCAUAUGAACACUGUUUUCUCUACAGUCACUGAAUCACAAGGUCAUUAUCAUGAAAAGCAGCUGGAUCAUCCUCAUCUUGAUGGUACUAGCUACAGGGGUCAACUCUGAAGUCCUGCUGCAGCAGUCAGGCGCUGAGCUUGUGAGACCUGGGUCCUCAGUCAAGAUUUCUUGCAAGGCUUCUGGCUACACCUUUACAGAUUACUAUAUGCACUGGGUGAAGCAGAGGCCUGAACAGGGCCUGGUAUGGAUAGGACGGAUUAAUCCUGCAAAUGGUAAUACUGUAUAUGCAGAGAAGUUCAAAAGCAAGGCCACACUGACUGCAGAUAAAUCGUCCAACACAGCCUACAUGCAACUCAGCAGCCUGACAUCUGAAGACACCGCAACCUAUUUUUGUACUAGACACAGUGUUGCAAUCACAUCCUGA